rnacentral:rRNA from 1 species
UACGUAGGUGACAAGCGUUGUCCGGAUUUACUGGGCGUAAAGAGCGCGCAGGCGGUCGUUCAAGUCGCGUGUGAAAGCCCCCGGCUCAACUGGGGAGGGUCACGCGAUACUGAUCGACUCGAAGGCAGGAGAGGGAAGUGGAAUUCCCGGUGUAGUGGUGAAAUGCGUAGAUAUCGGGAGGAACACCAGUGGCGAAGGCGACUUCCUGGCCUGUUCUUGACGCUGAGGCGCGAAAGCUAGGGGAGCAAACAGG